UUUUUCGGCUGUGGCGCGUGCGGGUGAGCCUGGUUUACGGACGCGGGUCGCGCAGUACAAGUACAAGAAGUGUUUAAGCCUUUAGAUACAAGUUUUGCAUAGGUUUUGUUCAACAUCGUCUCUGCAAGUGGAUGUUUAAUGUACAUUAUAUUACAGACAAUGGGCAAGACAUAUACCGGAAAGAGUUACAGCGCCAGGAGGAGACGAAUUCUUCAGAGAGUUAAUGAGCAUCUAACAGUAAUUGAAGAAGAGCAUGCUGCUGAAAAUGGAUUAGGUGUUACUGAUCAGGGCGCUACUAGGAAUGACCAUGAAGUUUUGUCAUCAACAACAACUGAAGAGUAUACUGCAGGCCCCUCUUUUGGGGAACAAUCGCGAGGUUAUGAUGCAUGUUCUGAAGAGCAGGCAUGCAAGGAAUCUGAUAUACAGCUCAGUAUGCCUUCAGCUGAGCAUGGGCAUGCACAGUUGAUGAGUCAUGAGCAGCAAAGCUCGCUAAAUCCAGGCACUGACAACAGAACUGGCCCUAGUCACAUCAGUGACAUUGAUGAGACCGAAGAUGGUCAGCAUGCAAAAAUGCUAAGAGAGUGGGCAAUGAAGCAUGGCAUCUCGCACAUGGCAGUUACUGACCUUCUGCAUAUCCUAUCCGAGGUACCUGUUCCAGGUAUACCAACAUCUGCCAGGACUCUGUUAAAGACUGAGCGAUGUAUAGAUGUCAAGAAGAAAGCAGGAGGUGAUUACUUUUAUUUUGGCAUAAAGGAAACUCUGCAAACCAUUGCAAAUCACCUUGAGCAUACAAGUAGCAGCAUGAGCACUCUUUCUCUUCAGCUGAACAUUGAUGGACUCCCAUUGUUUAGAAGCUCACGUACAUGUCUGUGGCCUAUCCUAUUCACUGUGAAGGAAUGGCAGAAAGAAGUGUUCAUGGCUGCAGUGUUCGGGGGAACUGAAAAACCAGCUUCCUUGACAGAGUUUCUGGCUGAUUUUGUGGAGGAGAUGAAAGUACUUGAAGCUAGUGGCAUUCAGGUUUCCAGCAGAAACUUCAAGGUUUUACUGACAUCAGUGGUUUGUGAUGCACCAGCUAGAGCAUUCUUGAAGUGUGUGAAAGGCCACAGUGGGUACCAUUCGUGUGAGAGAUGUGACCAAGCUGGUCGUCAUAUCCAGAACAGAAUGACUUUUCCUGAUAUGGGUGCAAAUGUUAGGAAUGAUCAUCUUUUCAAGCAGAUGCAAGAUGAAGAUCACCACACUGGCAUUUCACCACUAUCAGUGCUGAAUGUUGGGAUGGUUUCUUGUUUCCCUCUGGACUACAUGCAUUUGGUCUGCUUAGGGGUUAUGAGGAAGCUGGUAGCCCUGUGGCUGCAGGGUCCUUUACUCUGUAGGCUUCCUGGGCACGCAGUUAGAGAAAUAUCAGAACGCCUGAAAGGUCUGUAUGGAAGUGUGCCUCAGGACUUUGGACGACGACCAAGGUCAUUGAAUGAAUUCCGGAUGUGGAAGGCAGUGGAGUUCCGACAGAUUUUGCUGUACACCGGCCCAGUUGUGUUGAGUGGUGUCCUUCCAAAGAAAAAUUACCACCACUUUCUUCUUCUGUCUGUUGCCAUGCGCCUUCUCCUGAGUGAGAAGCCGACUGCGGAGGAGAUUGACUAUGCUGAGAAACUGCUACGCAUGUUUGUGGUGGAGUUCCCUGCAUUGUAUGGCAAAGAGAAUGUUGUUUACAAUGUGCAUUCCCUCAUUCAUAUCGCUGAUGAUGCCAGAAAGUUUGGGGGUUUAGAUGGCAUAUCUGCUUUUGUGUUUGAGAACUUCCUGAAGGACUUGAAGAAAUUGGUCAGGAAGCAGCAUCAGGUAGUUCCUCAGAUAGUGCGUCGGGUCCUCGAGGCACAACAGGUUGAUUCUUCACUAAAAGGGCUCGAGUCUAGUGUACAAGGUGAACACUUCAGUGGGCCAGUGCCAGACGAAUGCAAUGGGCACUACAGACAGUUCACAAAGUUGAACGGAAAAUUGGUACUCUCCAUCAAAGACAGGGACUGCUACAUUGAAUGCGAUGGAGGAAUUUUCAAGAUACUCAACAUCAUCCAGGACAAAUCGGGUGAGGUCAAGCUUGUGACCGAUCAGUUUGAAAAAGUGGGGGAUCAGUUCAGCUUCCCUUUGCCUUCAUCUAGUCUUGGCAUUGUUCAUGUCAGACAAGGAUCAAAGAGGAUGAAUGUUACUGACCUGAAGUCCAUCUCUCACAAGCUUUGGUUGAUGAAAGAUGCUCAUGGCGUUUCUAUCGUAGUUCCACUGCUUCAUAACGCCUAGAAAGUCAGAUUGCCAAUGCUGUUCUCCACUCCAUGGCAUCCAGUACAAGCCAUGUAUGCCAUCGUGGAGUUCGUGGGAGAGAACAGCACCGCUAUCAUCGCCCAAAGAUGGUUCGUGGACGCAGAGGAGACUUCUUGCUUUUGGCCUCCAAGGAAAGCUGAUGAGCAGGCUAGAAACCUUGCCCCGGCUUCACCUUCAUGGAACAAGCAUGACGUCAGGGUGCUUGGCAAAGCAGCAACCUAUGAGCGAGCCAGAGAAAAACUGACCCGAGCCGACGAAACUUCGGACCUGCAGACCGAGGACGAGGAAACUGCACGUAAACG
rnacentral:misc_RNA from 1 species